CACAGUAUGGAGGUCUAACUGUUGACCUGGGUAGUACAGCACCAGAAUGGAUACCUGAUGCAGCUGUUACUUUGUGUCAGUUGUGUACAAAUGAGUUCACCGUCACCUUCCGCCGUCAUCACUGUCAAGCUUGUGGAAAGGUUGUGUGUUCUGUUUGUUCAGCUGGUCAAGCCCCACUUCGUUAUUUAGGGUUUAAAACAGCAAGAGUUUGUGAUGAAUGUUUUCCAAAACUUCCAAAAGAAGGAAACCAAACUGAGUGCAGGUAUUCCUCUAAGGAUGAUGACUCAGGACCGAGAGAUAUAGAAAGUGACCCCUCACUGAAAGCCGAGUUUAAUAAAGAACUUCAACAGUCGGGAAGUAAAACAAAACAAAAUGUACCUAGCCUCUUACAGGAGAUUUGUGACAAUAACCAAGUCUCCUCCAUUAGUGGCCACUUACAGAAAAGAGGUCGUAGAGGCUGGAAACAGUACUGGUUUGUCAUUAAUGACAAAGUUUUGUAUAUGUACAAAACAAAUGAGG